GAAGAUCCAAUCUGCUUUUGAUAUUGUCUUUCGUCUUUUCAUGAGCAUUUAACACCGUGUUCGUCAGGUUAUCGAAGAAGUUUUUCUCAACAUGCAUGAAAUCAAGGCUAUGCCGAAGUAGAUGAUUUUCCCAGUACGGUAACUCCCAGAAGAUACUCUUCUUUACCCAAUUGUGAGUAACUCCAUAUCCGGAUAUUGUCUUGGAUGGAUUAUCAUGUCCAUUCCCUCCACAAUCAACAGAUUUUGAUAACCCUUCUAUAUUGUUUAUCCUUUCAAGGAAUAUUUCUUCUCCGGUCAACCACGGA
rnacentral:lncRNA from 1 species